UACGUAGGGUGCAAGCGUUGCUCGGAAUUAUUGGGCGUAAAGGGUUGGUAGGUGGUCUCUUUUGUCUGGGGUGAAAGCCUUGAGCUUAACUCAAGAAGUGCCCCAGAAACGGUGAGACUAGAGUUCUGGAGAGGGUCGUGGAAUUCCCGGUGUAGCGGUGAAAUGCGUAGAGAUCGGGAGGAACACCAGAGGCGAAGGCGGCGACCUGGACAGAUACUGACACUCAACUACGAAAGCGUGGGGAGCAAACAGG
rnacentral:rRNA from 1 species